rnacentral:rRNA from 1 species
CAGUAGCCGCGGUAAUACGGAGGGUGCAAGCGUUAUCCGGAUUCACUGGGUUUAAAGGGUGUGUAGGCGGGCUAUUAAGUCAGCGGUGAAAUCUCUGAGCUCAACUCAGAAACUGCCAUUGAUACUAUUAGUCUUGAAUAUCGUUGAGGUAGGCGGAAUAUGUCAUGUAGCGGUGAAAUGCUUAGAUAUGACAUAGAACACCGAUUGCGAAGGCAGCUUACUAAACGAUUAUUGACGCUGAGGCACGAAAGCGUGGGGAUCAAACAGGAUUAGAUACCCGAGUAGUCCCUGUCUCUUAUAC